GAGUUUGAUCAUGGCUCAGAUUGAACGCUGGCGGCAUGCCUUACACAUGCAAGUCGAACGGCAGCACGGGAGCUUGCUCCUGGGUGGCGAGUGGCGAACGGGUGAGUAAUGCAUCGGAACGUAUCCUGGAGUGGGGGAUAACGUAGCGAAAGUUACGCUAAUACCGCAUAUUCUGUGAGCAGGAAAGCGGGGGACCUUCGGGCCUCGCGCUACUUGGAGCGGCCGAUGUCGGAUUAGCUAGUUGGUGAGGUAAAGGCUCACCAAGGCGACGAUCCGUAGCAGGUCUGAGAGGAUGAUCUGCCACACUGGAACUGAGACACGGUCCAGACUCCUACGGAGGCAGCAGUGGGAAUUUUGGACAAUGGGGCAACCCUGAUCCAGCCAUGCCGCGUGAGUGAAGAAGGCCUGGUGUAAG
rnacentral:rRNA from 1 species